rnacentral:rRNA from 1 species
AUGCUUAACACAUGCAAGUCGAACGGAAACGACAACAUUGAUUCUUCGGAGGAUUUGUUGGGCGUCGAGCGGCGGACGGGUGAGUAAUGCCUAGGAAAUUGCCUUGAUGUGGGGGAUAACCAUUGGAAACGAUGGCUAAUACCGCAUAAUGCCUACGGGCCAAAGAGGGGGAUCUUCGGACCUCUCGCGUCAAGAUAUGCCUAGGUGGGAUUAGCUAGUUGGUGAGGUAAUGGCUCACCAAGGCGACGAUCCCUAGCUGGUCUGAGAGGAUGAUCAGCCACACUGGAACUGAGACACGGUCCAGACUCCUACGGGAGGCAGCAGUGGGGAAUAUUGCACAAUGGGCGAAAGCCUGAUGCAGCCAUGCCGCGUGUAUGAAGAAGGCCUUCGGGUUGUAAAGUACUUUCAGUUGUGAGGAAGGGUGUGUAGUUAAUAGCUGCGCAUCUUGACGUUAGCAACAGAAGAAGCACCGGCUAACUCCGUGCCAGCAGCCGCGGUAAUACGGAGGGUGCGAGCGUUAAUCGGAAUUACUGGGCGUAAAGCGCAUGCAGGUGGUUCAUUAAGUCAGAUGUGAAAGCCCGGGGCUCAACCUCGGAACUGCAUUUGAAACUGGUGAACUAGAGUGCUGUAGAGGGGGGUAGAAUUUCAGGUGUAGCGGUGAAAUGCGUAGAGAUCUGAAGGAACACCAGUGG